rnacentral:rRNA from 1 species
GAUUUUAGUGGCGGACGGGUGAGUAACGCGUGAGGAUCUGCCUAUAGGUUGGGGACAACAGAUGGAAACGUCUGCUAAUACCCAAUGUGCCGAGAGGUGAAAGCUUUAGUGCCUGUAGAUGAGCUCGCGUCCGAUUAGCUAGUUGGUAGGGUAAAGGCUUACCAAGGCGACGAUCAGUAGCUGGUCUGAGAGGAUGAUCAGCCACACUGGGACUGAGACACGGCCCAGACUCCUACGGGAGGCAGCAGUGGGGAAUUUUCCGCAAUGGGCGCAAGCCUGACGGAGCAAGACCGCGUGCGGGAGGAAGGUCUAUUGAUUGUAAACCGCUUUUGAUAGGGAAGAAGAUCUGACGGUACCUAUCGAAUCAGCAUCGGCUAACUCCGUGCCAGCAGCCGCGGUAAUACGGGGGAUGCAAGCGUUAUCCGGAAUUAUUGGGCGUAAAGCGUCCGUAGGUGGUUUUAAAAGUCUGUUGUCAAAUCGCGAGGCUUAACCUCGUACAGGCAGUGGAAACUAUAAGACUAGAGUGCGGUAGGGGUAGAGGGAAUUUCCAGUGUAGCGGUGAAAUGCGUAGAUAUUGGAAAGAACACCGGUGGCGAAGGCGCUCUACUGGGCCUGCACUGACACUGAGGGACGAAAGCUAGGGGAGCGAAAGGGAUUAGAUACCCCUGUAGUCCUAGCCGUAAACGAUGGAAACUAGGUGUUGCCCGUAUCGACCCGAGCCGUGCCGAAGC